GACGGCUCUAGGGUUGUAAACUCCUUUCAGUUGAGACGAGGCCUUGCCGGUUAAUAGCCGUGUAAGGUGACGGUAUCAUCACAAGAAGCCCCGGCUAACUACGUGCCAGCAGCCGCGGUAAUACGUAGGGGGCAAGCGUUGUCCGGAAUUAUUGGGCGUAAAGAGCGCGUAGGCGGUCUGAUAAGUCUGCUGUGAAAGUCCAGGGCUCAACCCUGGAAGGUCAGUGGAUACUGUCAGACUAGAGUCUGGAAGAGGUCAAUGGAAUUCCCGGUGUAGUGGUGGAAUACUCA
rnacentral:rRNA from 1 species